CCAGUGUUUGGUCCUGCGUGCCCAGCCUCUGCAAAAUUAAGCACCAAAACUCUGCUGGGCUCUCUAGUGGAACAGUGCUCCAUCUCUCUUUUGGAAAAUCCAGCCCUCAAGGAUAAAAGUAUAACAACAAAUCAGCUUCCACUCAUGUAGGCCAACAGGUAUCUCUCUGCCAAGAAGAAUCUUGCUUUAUGACUUGUGAAUUGAAAUUUGUACCCUCUCUAAGCACUAUUCUAUCCAAAGGGCUCUGUGGUGAGAUAGCUUGCUUACUGCAUGUGCCAGGAGAAGCAGCCACGAUUCCUGACAUCUUGCUUUGGGAGCAGUAAGAGGCCAGCUCCCCAGAGCUGGAAUGGGAGGAAGCAUAUUGCCACAGUGUGGCUUUUUCCCUGCUGGGAAGGAAAUUCCAACCAUUUUUUAUGAAGUCUUCUGUCCCCAGAAGUAUGUGAGGCUGAUCUGUCAGAGUGGGACAAAAGGAUCAGUGUCUAAACCUUAAUGUUGUUGCCCCAUGGCUCCAGCAGUGACUUUCCAGCACCAACCACUCUAAUCACAACGGAAACCAGUACUGGUAAAUCCAACAUAAAUUCACUAAAGAAUUGCUUGUAUUUUGUCCAAAUGACAGAACUUAACCAGUUCCACAGCCAGCCCACCUCUGAAACUCAGUGUCGCCAGUGCAUUGGUAUGGUGAAGGCUGUUAGAGUAAGUAUAAUAUAUAUUAAAAAAAAAAACUAUUGAAAAUACCAGCUAACAAAUUAACUUGUAUAGCUAAAACACUGGAUUAUUUUGAUUAAGGAGAAAUUUUCAAGAAGAAUUAAUGCCAAUGGACUGAGGUAGUUCUUGGAACUUAUUUCAGAGACAAGAGGAAAAAGGGGUAAAUCUUUGUUCACCAGACUCAAAAACCAGGGAAGCUGGAGUGUGGAAGUCAUUAUGAGAUUAACAGAAUAGAAAAUUGCCUUGAAUUUAUGAGCAAGAAAAUGAUUUAUUUGUUCUUUUGUGCUUAAGGAGAAAGGGACUCUGAAUGAUCUGCUUCUCAAAAUAAAAGUAAUCUCACAUUUGGAUUGCUAGCUGU